rnacentral:lncRNA from 1 species
CUUGGAGAGUGAUAGGGGCUACAACUUGCCUAACUCAAAGUGGGACUGCAUCAAAAUUAUACAAUGAUGUAAAUUCUGUCUUUCUGAAUUUACAAAUCCAGUAUCAUAGUCUAUUUGUGUAUGCUUAAAUUUUUCCUACUCACUUCUCUUACAUUUUUGGUGGCUUUAUUUUGGGAAUGCUAAAGAUCAAGUCACAUAAAGAUGUUAUGCACUAUAAAACUGCUUAUGUUGUCAAGCUGCAUCGUAUAGCGAGGCUUGCUCCAACUCAAUCCGUAGGAUUAAUUUUUAUAAUUUCUUGAAACAGUUGAUAUUUGUGGAAUGAAAGUUCUAGAAAUUCAUACCCUUCUAUUAUUUUCUUGCUGAGGUCUUAACAUUUAUCCAUCCAGAGCAUUCAACUAAAAACAGCAAUCAGGGUUAUAAGAAGCUUCGGUUCGAUUUACCUCCUGAUGCUGGCUCAGCCAUGGUUCAUAGUAUAUGGUUGAAAAGGCCUAGCUAAUUUUAUCGCUUAAAUUUCUGCAGGUUUCCAGUAUUUUUCCCAUUGAUGAUGCCAGUUUGUGUGACACCAAAUUCUCAUUUGGAGGUCCAUUUUUGGCUUUGUUGUGGUUCUACCAAGGUAACUCACUUAACUGAUGGUUUAGCAUAUUUUUUAUGGCGUCUAUUUUUUUUGUGAGGUUUAAUUUAAAUAAUAUGGUAAUUAUCUAAAUAAAUUUUUAUGUUGCGUAGCCUUAAGUAAUGGAUAUACUGGCAAUUUGUAUACUUGAUGCUGAAAAUGAUUAUUAUUAUUCUCUAUGGGCAAGAAGUGAAUUAGAAUUUGUUUUAGGUUGGUGGGUUUGAUCCAUCUAAUUUUGGAAUGUCCUUUUAGUCAUAGGAUAUGCAUAAAAACACUGUGCAAGAAACAGAGAAUAUAGGUUGUGAAUUACUUAACUCUGUAUGUCGCACCUGAUAUUAUUCCAUCUAAUUUAAUUAUCACAAGUUUGGUACGAAUGGUGUGCGACAUCUCCAAGUGCGUCUUCUUUGCACAACUCCAGUGGUCACUCACACUAGGUCGGUCUCUAAGGUUUUCUUGGCAAUGUGUGGCAAAAAAGAUCCAUUGCAAGAUGCAAGCUGGAGUAGAUGACCCAAACUCUAUUCCAACUUUCGCUGUUUGUACAAUUGGAUAUUGAUAGAUCAACGUGUUUUACUUCUGUUGUACCAAAUGGUGCAUAGACUUUUUACUCGUUAUCGUAGUUUGUAAAACUUGUUAUUUAAACUGUAACAUCUUUUUCUAGUAUAUAAAGCAAUUGAGG